GCUUCUUCUGAUUUCCUCUCCUUGUUUGACCAACAAUCUACAGCGAAGUGGACAAACUUCUUACAACAAUAACAUUGAACUUUUCUCUUGUCAUACUUCUCAUUUCCCUUCUGACUCCCAGAAGUUAAGGUUUCUGACUUCUGAGACAUAUCGUGUCUUUUCUUGGCUUUUGACCAAGACUGCUUUUCGUCAUUCUUGAUAAAAGAAGCUUUCAGAGCCUGCUCUACCUCUCUCUCAGAGGUUCUUUCAGUCAGAUGCAAUUCUUGCGCCUCUAGACUAC
rnacentral:lncRNA from 1 species